rnacentral:rRNA from 1 species
AUGGAGAUUCCCACCAAGUUGCGAAACGUACAGAAGUUCACUGGGUGCCUGGCCUCCCUAAACCGCUUUAUCAGCCGACUAGGAGAGAAGGCUCUCCCCCUGUACCGACUCAUGAAGAAAUCCACUCAUUUCGAGUGGAAUGACCAAGCAGACCAAGCCUUCCAUGAGUUGAAGAAAAUGCUGACCACUCCACAUGUCCUGGCGGCACCGACUGAGAAGGAGCCCAUGCUCCUCUACAUUGCCGCAACUAGCCGAGUGGUCAGUACAGUCAUCGUGGUCCAGCGCCCAGAAGAAGGCCGAGCCCAGCUAGUCCAGAGGCCGGUAUAUUAUCUAAGCGAAGUACUGUCCAGCUCAAAGCAAAACUACCCACACUACCAGAAGGUGUGCUAUCGAGUGUACUUCGCUGCCAAGAAGCUGAAGCCCUAA